ACUUCUGUCUCUCUCCUUUCCCUCCCCCUGUUCUCCCAAGAUCUGAUUUUUGAUGGCUAUAUAGUGUGAUUCUUCUCCCAUGAGUUUGAUGCGAUGUCAAGGAAAAUUUGAAGAACACGAAGAAGAGUUUCCAUGAAUUUGACGAUGUGAAUGGAAAAUUUGAAGAACACCAAGUGUUUCGAAAGAACAAUCUGAUUGGGGUGCUUGAGGAUACCAGAGAUCUUACAUUCCAUGGUAUUUUUUACGAGUUCGAAGCUGCUUUAGAGGACACCAAGCUCAGUGUUACCUUAAGAAGUUGAGAAGAGGAAUCACCACGCUUUUCAAUCAUGGGAGAGAAAACGAGAAAGGAGUAUGCAGUCUUACUACAGAGGCAUAGAGCUGCUGUCAUACAAAAGCUGAUGAAAAGCAGGAUUGCAAGGAAGAAAUUCAACAACAUUUGUGAUGCAUCAAUUGUGAUACAAUCAGCUAUCUUUGCAGUUUAUCGUGGCUGGUUUGUCAGAAGAUGCUCAGGAGGUAUAGGAUAAAUGAAACCUGGGAACACAAAUGUGCUUAAUUAUGGAUCACCAGAAAGGAGUUCUUUUUCGAUAAAGGAGUGUGUGAUUUCAAUAGCUUUGACGUGGGGCUAAUAACAGGAGUUCCUGCAUCGGAAAUUUGGAAUUGUCUAAGGAUUCCUAUGCAGCUACCCCAGUGCUGCCUGAUCUGGCUGUACUGAUGUCCGGACGGCCAAUGAAGGACCCUGAUAUGCUCUGCCUAUAAAUAACAAGGGUAUCAGGGAGGUACAAAAGCCGCUUGAAGAUAUCACAGGGAGUCUCAAGAUAGCUGGAGUCAAAGGCACUAGGUUCAACUGAGAGGAAUUUGAGGCAGGCGUCUCGAGCACUGAAGCAGGGGAAGGCUUGGUGGAAAGACACACUUUUAUGAUGGCAUGGAAAUCCAAAGAGCGGACGGAUUUGUUGUACAAACUGGUGAUCUGGAAGGACCUGCAGAGGGUUUAAUUGAUCCAAGUACAGAGAAAACCAGGACGAUACCUUUAGAAAUCUCUGUAGAUGGAGAGAAAGCACCCUUUUACGGUGCAACUUUGGAAGUAAGAUUCCUCCUUCCUAGUCACUCCCUCUCUCCCUUUGUAUGUAUAUGAUGUGUGUGUGAUUCUGUUGAUACAUUACAGAAAAUGAGGACUUCUUGGCAGAUCUCAAGGUUGGUGAUGCUAUUGAAUCUAUCCAAGUUGUUUCUGGCCCGGAAAAUCUAGUGAAUCCAAGCUACAAGAUUGCUGGCUAGACAAAAGCCUCUGUCUACUUAUGUCUUCCAUUUGCAAGUUUAUACACGGCAACCAUUUGGAAGUCUGUCAUUUCUAGAGAAUAAUAUAAAUUCGAGAAUGUAUUCAUCGACUGAAAUCAAGUCCAGGUUAUGCCUGUGUUUAACUAGAUUGUGAUUAUAUAGCAUAUUUUUCAUUUUCCCCAAAAAAGAAGCACAAAAACAUAAAUUUACCUGUUCAGUACGGAAAACCAAUUUUGUAUAACCCACUUGAUACAUCUCUAGUAAUAUGUUGAACUGAUGAAGAAUAGCAACUGAAAC